CUACGGGGGGCAGCAGGGGGGGAUCUUGGUCAAUGGCGGAAGCCUGACCCAGCAACGCCGCGUGGAGGAAGACGGCCCUAUGGGUUGUAAACUGCUUUUAUUCGGGAAUAAACCUCUUUACGUGUAGAGAGUUGAAUGUACCGAAAGAAUAAGGAUCGGCUAACUCCGUGCCAGCAGCCGCGGUAAUACGGAGGAUCCAAGCGUUAUCCGGAUUUAUUGGGUUUAAAGGGUGCGUAGGCGGCUUAUUAAGUCAGGGGUGAAAGACGGUGGCUCAACCAUCGCAGUGCCUUUGAUACUGAUGAGCUUGAAUACACUUGAGGUAGGCGGAAUGUGACAAGUAGCGGUGAAAUGCAUAGAUAUGUCACAGAACACCAAUUGCGAAGGCAGCUUACUAAGGUGCAAUUGACGCUGAGGCACGAAAGCGUGGGGAUCAAACAGGAUUAGAUACCCUGGUAGUCCACGCCCUAAACGAUGAAUACUCGAUGUUAGCGAUAUACAGUUAGCGUCUAAGCGAAAGCGUUAAGUAUUCCACCUGGGGAGUACGCCCGCAAGGGUGAAACUCAAAGGAAUUGACGG
rnacentral:rRNA from 1 species